rnacentral:rRNA from 1 species
AUUGAACGCUGGCGGCGUGCCUAACACAUGCAAGUCGAGCGGUAACAGGUGUAGCAAUACAUGCUGACGAGCGGCGAACGGGUGAGUAAUGCUUCGGAAUCUGCCCAAUGGUGGGGAAUAACCAGCCGAAAGGUUGGCUAAUACCGCAUACGUCCUACGGGAGAAAGCAGGGGAUCGCAAGACCUUGCGCCGAUGGAUGAGCCGAAGUCGGAUUAGCUAGUUGGUAGGGUAACGGCCUACCAAGGCGACAAUCCGUAGCUGGUCUGAGAGGACGAUCAGCCACACCGGAACUGAGACACGGUCCGGACUCCUACGGGAGGCAGCAGUGGGGAAUAUUGGACAAUGGGCGAAAGCCUGAUCCAGCGACGCCGCGUGGGUGAAGAAGGCCUUCGGGUUGUAAAGCCCUUUAAGCCGGGACGAAAAAAUCGGCGAUAACAUCGCCGGUCUUGACGGUACCGGAAGAAUAAGCACCGGCUAACUCUGUGCCAGCAGCCGCGGUAAUACAGAGGGUGCAAGCGUUAAUCGGAUUUACUGGGCGUAAAGCGUGUGUAGGUGGCUCGCUAAGUCGGUUGUGAAAUCCCUGGGCUCAACCUGGGAAUUGCAGUCGAUACUGAUGAGCUCGAGUUCGGUAGAGGGUGACGGAAUUCCCGGUGUAGCGGUGAAAUGCGUAGAUAUCGGGAGGAACAUCGAUGGCGAAGGCAAUCACCUGGGCCUGAACUGACACUGUGACACGAAAGCGUGGGUAGCAAACAGGAUUAGAUACCCUGGUAGUCCACGCCGUAAACGAUGGGAACCUGACGUCGGUUUGCUCUGCGAAUCGGUGUCGUAGCUAACGCGCUAAGUUCCCCGCCUGGGGAGUAC